CAGCUUUCCAGUGCUUCAAACCUGUCCAACUGAUUAGGAGGAACUUAAGUUGCUUGAAAAUCUCUUCAUCGUUUAACAUCCACACAUCACCAAGAAAUCCGUUGUCUUUAAUUUUAAGCACCUCGAGGUUUGGCAAUGUUAUAAUAUUUGCCAUGUCUUCCCAUGGUAAACUAGUGCAACUUAAAGUCAACCUCUUCAGUGAUGCAGGCAAAACAUACUUACUUGGGAUUUGAGAAGGCUGUAUCCCGUCAUCCCUGUACUUCAAGAUUUCAAGUUUUUCUAAACAGGAAAGGCUAUUUAGGCGCUCUCUCUUCAUUUCCAUCAGAUAAUUUCCAAUAAUUUUCAGCUUUUUAAGAUUGGGAAUAGCAGAAAAUAAUUCACAAG
rnacentral:misc_RNA from 1 species